GACAGAGGAUGCAAGCGUUAUCCGGAAUGAUUGGGCGUAAAGCGUCUGUAGGUGGCUUUUUAAGUCCGCCGUCAAAUCCCAGGGCUCAACCCUGGACAGGCGGUGGAAACUACCAAGCUGGAGUACGGUAGGGGCAGAGGGAAUUUCCGGUGGAGCGGUGAAAUGCGUAGAGAUGUGGAGGAAUACCGAUGGCGAAGGCAGCCCCCUGGGAUAACACUGACGCUCAUGCACGAAAGCGUGGGGAGCAACAGG
rnacentral:rRNA from 1 species